UAUCACCACCGUUUGCAAAUACUUAAAUAACAUCAAUUUUGUACAGUUUAUCAAUCAACUUCUGUUGAUUUGCUUGAUCCCUGAGAGUGCAUGCUUGAUCCCUGAGAGUGCAUGAACACUGAGAGUGCAUGGUCAAGCUUUAAGUGAAUCAAUACAUUUUAUACGCAGAAAAAGGAUACGUUUUUUUAUUCCUCUCACCACGACCAGGGAAAGGCGGCAAGCGAGGCUUAUUGACGUUUAAUGCGUCGCUAAUGGAGUACCGCAGCGAAUGCGAUCGCGAAACGUCCACAAUUAGUAUCCCUUUGCGGGUCUGCACGCGCGGAAAAACAUUCCGAUGUCCUUGCUUCCGGUUGAUCUCCACAUGUACACUUUCUUAAUCAGUGGUGCUGACAGAGGUGGUACCAAGGGUUUCGCUGGCAGUGCUGAGUCAUAAGCUGCCCCUCUUUCCGCACUAAUAUUUAGCACUCAGUGGUCGCCGGCACCUUUUGUACCUUUCCGGUAGUAUACAACCUCACGUAAGUUGGCUAAAAGGUCAACUUAUAUAUAUGUAUAUAUAUACAAUUAGCAUCAACGUCUUAUAAGAAAUGACCGAGUAGUGGCAAUUUUCAAAGGGGGUGACUACAGCCUAAGGGAAAGUCUUUUUAUUUAAAAGAAGAGGGGGUGACCACAGAUCUGCUACACGAGUACUGUGCGCUGUGCGAACAGAAAAUUAAUUGACAAGUAAUAAGACAUUAAAUGGCUAAUAUUUCAUACUGGUCAGUCCAAGAAGUACUAACUGCUUUUUUAAUAGCAUGAAGACACCGUAUCCUGCAAAACUAAUAUUAGAGGAAAGAGUUCUUUACAUGCGGUAUCCCUCUCGAACACUUUGGAUUUCUUGGACACACUUCUGCGCAGCCUCGAGUGCACCGUACGCAGUUCCUUAAAAUAAUUUAUACGCAUUAAAGCACCCUCAAAAAUUAGGCGGCUAUUGUUUAUAACUUAUUAGAGUAAACAAUUACGAGCAAUGAUAGAACGCAAAAGAACACGAAAGUCAUACUUGCCGCUGCAGAUCCACAAGCAUCUCCCGUACCCGUAUACCGCUUAGCAGUUGUUUCUAUCCCCUUUUUCACCCAAUGCUCCGUGCUCUUCCCGAAUAUUUCACAUACAGAGUACGUCAUUCGCAUUCGCUUUCAACUGCUUCCACGUCUCACUAAGGCUGCCAUUCGUUAGUACACAAGUGUCCUCGUAAUCCGGCAUAUCUUUAGAGAGACUGGUCUCGGAAAAAAAUAUCGCAUGUAUUCAACAUGUACUACUACUAAUAAAUCUCACUGUCAGAAUCCCACAGCCGUUCAUGAACUUGUACAGAUACUCGUAUGGACUAAAAGACCGCAGAAACGAACUUUUGUCGCUAGUAAACUUCUAGUGAAGUACUGCUUGCUGAUUCUGCGAGCCUGCGGCUUUUCAAAUGAAAACAGAAUUGGCAAUACGAAUUACGAGUUUGAGAUAUUUUGACUUCAGAGAAGCUCUCACGGUAACUCAUACUUUAAACACCACUUUGUCUGUGUACUCUAGACUGCCUCGUGCUUAUCCACGUGCUCUACGAACGCCUGGAUGAUACAACAUCGGCAAGGCCGCAAGAGCAAGCUGACGUUGAGCAAACUAGAGCAGAUACAAAACUGAAAAACUCAGUAUUAACCAACCAUGAAUAAUCAACCAUAAAAUUAAAAACAGCCAUCAACGCAAACUAAUACUGUACUAUAACCGGUGAACAGUAAUCUCCAACGCAAACUAAAAAUUUUAAACAUCCUCUCAUUUGAGAAUUUUGAUUUUUCACCGAGAAUUUGAUCCAUAAUUUAGUUUAUCACAGCAACGCAGUGACAGCGAACGAUGCUGCCGCCCCCAGGAACAAUCCCACACCCAGACAGAAUCCCAUCAUCGCCCCGGUAGUCUCCGCAAAAUGCGCCGGCACCAACUUGGGACCAUACAUCAUGCCCAGAUUUCCCAAAUAGCCAUUGGUGAAUAUCAUCCCGGCGAUGAUGAUAAUAUAUGCCGCAUCGCCAAACACCACCGGCAAGUGAGAUCGUGGCUGGGCAUUGCACAACAUGAGCAAAGGAAUAAAUCCGAAACGCAACACCGCCAGCACAAUGGUUUCUAUAUCAGUACGAAGUGCGAGCUAUCGACUUUUACCGUUACGACAAGUUCAUCCGGGGGUGGAAACAUAAAAAACUUAACAAACUCCAGCCUGAGGAAAACAAAAAACCCAACAAUGGCGAUCAUCGACAUCACGGCUGCCGAAGCGAAAUAUCCGCAGGCUUCGGUUUUAAUUCGAUCCUCUCCAGCGCUCCCGCUACCUCCUAGUACCGAAAUGAUCAUGGCAAUGGCCGCGAUGAUACCGGCAAAUGUCUGUCCCACCAUGAUAGCAGUGGCAAACCGCGAAGGAAGGCAUCCUUGUACGCCAAAUAAAGCACCCAUCACCAGAUUGCUGGAGAAACUAAUUAUGACGAUAUUCAGCAUUGUCACGCCAAAAAAUCCCUUCUGCCAAGGAUCCGUGUCCACUUCGGCAAGGAUGGCGGUUAUAAUAAACACAAGCAUCGUCAUCGUUAGUCCAAAUACGAUUCGCUUUUGGAACGAUACGUAGCGAGUCAAAAUUGUAUUCGCGAAGACAGCUAUAAAGCAGAAGAAAAGACAAUCGGGUCACAAUCCAUGACGAAAGUAUUUUUUAAAGCAGUUAAAAGAACGCAAUGUCUGCAAGCUUCCGGUUCUGUUACAGAAGGAUAUUACAGUUUGUGCAGACGGAUCAAGAUCACACAGUCAUGCUGAUAACAA